CUCUACCCCCUCCUCUACUGCCCUCCACCACUUCACCUCCCUUAUAUCCUCCGACCCAGCUCCCAACCCGGAAUAUCGGCCUCGGACCCCGCUCCCAACCCGAAAUACCGGCCGAAUAGUUUUUGUUUACGCUAGAGCAGCACGGAUUCGCCAGCGACGCUCCCAAAACGUUGAAGGAUAGUGAUUUGUUGAUCAUCGAUGCAUCGACUGCGACACGUGUCGGUGGAUAGCUCCGGAGCACUUCAAGCGGGUUGAUGAGAAAGCUGCGGUCACAAAGCAACCAAUCUCCAGGGAGGAAAGAAUUAGAGCUCUUCAGGUGAUCAU